AAAUUGAAGAGUUUGAUCAUGGCUCAGAUUGAACGCUGGCGGCAGGCCUAACACAUGCAAGUCGAGCGGUAGCACAGAGAGCUUGCUCUCGGGUGACGAGCGGCGGACGGGUGAGUAAUGUCUGGGAAACUGCCUGAUGGAGGGGGAUAACUACUGGAAACGGUAGCUAAUACCGCAUAACGUCGCAAGACCAAAGUGGGGGACCUUCGGGCCUCAUGCCAUCAGAUGUGCCCAGAUGGGAUUAGCUAGUAGGUGGGGUAAUGGCUCACCUAGGCGACGAUCCCUAGCUGGUCUGAGAGGAUGACCAGCCACACUGGAACUGAGACACGGUCCAGACUCCUACGGGAGGCAGCAGUGGGGAAUAUUGCACAAUGGGCGCAAGCCUGAUGCAGCCAUGCCGCGUGUAUGAAGAAGGCCUUCGGGUUGUAAAGUACUUUCAGCGAGGAGGAAGGCAUUAAGGUUAAUAACCUUGGUGAUUGACGUUACUCGCAGAAGAAGCACCGGCUAACUCCGUGCCAGCAGCCGCGGUAAUACGGAGGGUGCAAGCGUUAAUCGGAAUUACUGGGCGUAAAGCGCACGCAGGCGGUCUGUCAAGUCGGAUGUGAAAUCCCCGGGCUCAACCUGGGAACUGCAUUCGAAACUGGCAGGCUAGAGUCUUGUAGAGGGGGGUAGAAUUCCAGGUGUAGCGGUGAAAUGCGUAGAGAUCUGGAGGAAUACCGGUGGCGAAGGCGGCCCCCUGGACAAAGACUGACGCUCAGGUGCGAAAGCGUGGGGAGCAAACAGGAUUAGAUACCCUGGUAGUCCACGCCGUAAACGAUGUCGACUUGGAGGUUGUGCCCUUGAGGCGUGGCUUCCGGAGCUAACGCGUUAAGUCGACCGCCUGGGGAGUACGGCCGCAAGGUUAAAACUCAAAUGAAUUGACGGGGGCCCGCACAAGCGGUGGAGCAUGUGGUUUAAUUCGAUGCAACGCGAAGAACCUUACCUACUCUUGACAUCCAGAGAACUUAGCAGAGAUGCUUUGGUGCCUUCGGGAACUCUGAGACAGGUGCUGCAUGGCUGUCGUCAGCUCGUGUUGUGAAAUGUUGGGUUAAGUCCCGCAACGAGCGCAACCCUUAUCCUUUGUUGCCAGCGGUUAGGCCGGGAACUCAAAGGAGACUGCCAGUGAUAAACUGGAGGAAGGUGGGGAUGACGUCAAGUCAUCAUGGCCCUUACGAGUAGGGCUACACACGUGCUACAAUGGCAUAUACAAAGAGAAGCGACCUCGCGAGAGCAAGCGGACCUCAUAAAGUAUGUCGUAGUCCGGAUUGGAGUCUGCAACUCGACUCCAUGAAGUCGGAAUCGCUAGUAAUCGUAGAUCAGAAUGCUACGGUGAAUACGUUCCCGGGCCUUGUACACACCGCCCGUCACACCAUGGGAGUGGGUUGCAAAAGAAGUAGGUAGCUUAACCUUCGGGAGGGCGCUUACCACUUUGUGAUUCAUGACUGGGGUGAAGUCGUAACAAGGUAACCGUAGGGGAACCUGCGGUUGGAUCACCUCCUUACCUUAAAGAA
rnacentral:rRNA from 1 species